CUGUUGUGCAAUACAUACUGUCACACUAUGUCGACGCUGCGUCAGAUUGUAAUGUUCCUAUGCAUCGUAGUAGUUGCAAGUGCACUUCCGAGACCUGACAGCGCUGGUCAUCCACUUCCACCUGGCCCAGGCAUCUCUUACGGUGGAAUCCCCUACGGCAGUGUCAGUGGUGACGUUGCAGCCUCGUUGAACAGACAAGCCUCCAUCCCAGGCCUGAGCUACCUCCAUACUAACGACCACAGACUGCACAAUAUCGAACAAUAUUUAUAAAAUCGCAAACAACCAAUGUUGCUUCAUAUGUUUUAGGCACGUUUGGAAAAUGAAAAGGCAUAAAAGGCAUUUAUUUUCUCAAAAUUGAUUCCUUUAGAAUUCUUUUUGAUGUCAUUUCUUAUACUACUAGAUACUACUACCGCUUCGGAAACAAAUGGCGCUCUGAGAGAGAAGAAGCGGCGCAAGAAACUCUCCCAGCAUUCUUUUUUUUGCGUUCUUUUCAAUAAAAAUAUACA